UACAGAGGGCGCGAGCGUUGUCCGGAAUCACUGGGCGUAAAGGGCGCGUAGGUGGCCACUAUAAGUCCGCGGUGAAAGUUCGGGGCUCAACCCUGAAUCUGCCGCGGAGACUGUGGGGCUUGGGCACUGUAGAGGCAGAUGGAAUUCCGGGUGUAGCGGUGGAAUGCGUAGAGAUCCGGAAGAACACCGGUGGCGAAGGCGGUCUGCUGGGCAGUGGACCCGUGAGGGUCCAAUAGCCGGACACUGAUGCGCGACAGCGUGGGGAGCAAACAGG
rnacentral:rRNA from 1 species